UACAAUAGUCAUCGCAAUAGUUGAGCAUGAACCAGGUCAGGAUCGGAAGAUAGCAGCCUUAAGUGUAUUCGCUAUGUGUGGUGACUUUUUUUUAUAG
rnacentral:SRP_RNA from 1 species